AACGAACGCUGGCGGCAUGCCUAACACAUGCAAGUCGAACGAGAUCUUCGGGUCUAGUGGCGCACGGGUGCGUAACGUGUGGGAAUCUGCCCUUUGGUUCGGAAUAACAGUUGGAAACGACUGCUAAUACCGGAUGAUGACGAAAGUCCAAAGAUUUAUCGCCAGAGGAUGAGCCCGCGUAGGAUUAGCUAGUUGGUGUGGUAAAGGCGCACCAAGGCGACGAUCCUUAGCUGGUCUGAGAGGAUGAUCAGCCACACUGGGAUUGAGACACGGCCCAGACUCCUACGGGAGGCAGCAGUGGGGAAUAUUGGACAAUGGGCGAAAGCCUGAUCAGCAAUGCCGCGUGAGUGAUGAAGGCCUUAGGGUUGUAAAGCUCUUUUACCCGGGAUGAUAAUGACAGUACCGGGAGAAUAAGCUCCGGCUAACUCCGUGCCAGCAGCCGCCGUAA
rnacentral:rRNA from 1 species